rnacentral:rRNA from 1 species
GACGAACGCUGGCGGCGUGCUUAACACAUGCAAGUCGAGCGGUAAGGCCUUUCGGGGUACACGAGCGGCGAACGGGUGAGUAACACGUGGGUGACCUGCCCUCAGCUCUGGGAUAAGCCUGGGAAACUGGGUCUAAUACCGGAUAUUCACUUCUCAUCGCAUGGUGGGUGGUGGAAAGUUUUUUCGGCUGGGGAUGGGCCCGCGGCCUAUCAGCUUGUUGGUGGGGUGAUGGCCUACCAAGGCGACGACGGGUAGCCGGCCUGAGAGGGCGACCGGCCACACUGGGACUGAGACACGGCCCAGACUCCUACGGGAGGCAGCAGUGGGGAAUAUUGCGCAAUGGGCGGAAGCCUGACGCAGCGACGCCGCGUGGGGGAUGACGGCCUUCGGGUUGUAAACCUCUUUCGACCUCGACGAAGCGUGAGUGACGGUAGGGGUAGAAGAAGCACCGGCCAACUACGUGCCAGCAGCCGCCGUAAAAC